CCCUUAGAUGUUCUGGGCCGCACGCGCGCUACACUGAUGCAUUCAACGAGCCUAUCCUUGACCGACAGGUCCGGGUAAUCUUUGAAUCUGCAUCGUGACGGGGAUAGAUUAUUGCAAUUAUUAAUCUUCAACGAGGAAUGCCUAGUAGGCGCAAGUCAUCAGCUUGCGUCGAUUACGUCCCUGCCCUUUGUACACACCGCCCGUCGCUCCUACCGAUUGGGUGUGCUGGUGAAAUGUUCGGAUCGGCCGUUUGUCGCGGUUUCCGCGUCCUGUGGCUGAGAAGUUCAUUAAACCCUCCCACCUAGAGGAAGGAGAAGUCGUAACA
rnacentral:rRNA from 1 species